UACGUAGGGUGCAAGCGUUAAUCGGAAUUACUGGGCGUAAAGCGUGCGCAGGCGGUUAUGCAAGACAGAGGUGAAAUCCCCGGGCUCAACCUGGGAACUGCCUUUGUGACUGCAUAGCUAGAGUACGGUAGAGGGGGAUGGAAUUCCGCGUGUAGCAGUGAAAUGCGUAGAUAUGCGGAGGAACACCGAUGGCGAAGGCAAUCCCCUGGACCUGUACUGACGCUCAUGCACGAAAGCAUGGGGAGCAAAAGGG
rnacentral:rRNA from 1 species